UCAUUGGCUUCUUUAAGUUCAAAUUGCAGGGUUUCAAUAAAUACCGAUUUAGCCAGGAGCUCAUUUUCCAGAAACUGCACUAUCUCUAUAGAACUGCAGAGUUCUCUUUCUCUGCUUCAAUAGCAGCCAGCUUUGAAUGAAGAAUAGCUUCAUUGAGCUCUGAUACAUGCUUUAGAAGCUCAGCUGUCUUGCCUCUUUCCAUGUUGACAGCAGUUUGCAUCAGCUCUGCUUGUGUCAUAGCCUUGAAUUCAGAUUCUCUAGCAUCAGCAAGUUCUGUUUCCACACGAAGUAACUCUUCUUGUGCAGUUUUCAACUCGCUUAAAACAUGUGAAAGCUGCUCUCGAACCUUUGCAGUUUCCAACAAUUGAUCAGCCAUCUCCUUCGUCUUGGUUUCAAGUUCAUCUAUCCGGGUUCUAGAUUCUAUGCAUUCAUUUAUGUAUUUAUCUCUCUCAGCCUCGGAGCUCUUCAGCAAGGUGGAAAGCUCAUCUGCUGCUUUCCGAUAGUGAUCCAGCUUAAGAAGGGCUUGCAUGUGGGCAGAGUCCUUUGCCUCCAGUUGCACCUUGCAGUUGGCUAAGUCCUUUAGCAGACCUUCAAGCUCUUGUUCUUUCUCCAACUCUGGCUGGUGAAGGAAAUAGGACACAACGAAAGGAAUAUCAAAACUAUCCAAUUUUACAGUAAAUUCACGGUUUGGGACCUCCAUCACAAGCCCCUCUACAUAAGCAAGAGGGGUGCAUACUGAACACGAAUGGUUAAUUAAUAUUCAACAUUUGAUGGCGUUUUCUUUAA